UACGGGGGGGGCAAGCGUUGUUCGGAAUUACUGGGCGUAAAGGGCGCGUAGGCGGCCGAGCAAGUUAGAUGUGAAAGUCCUGGGCUUAACCUGGGGACUGCAUUUGAUACUGCUUGGCUUGAAUUCGGGAGAGGAUAGCGGAAUUCCCAGUGUAGAGGUGAAAUUCGUAGAUAUUGGGAAGAACACCGGUGGCGAAGGCGGCUAUCUGGACCGACAUUGACGCUGAGGCGCGAAAGCGUGGGGAGCGAUCCGG
rnacentral:rRNA from 1 species